rnacentral:tRNA from 1 species
GGCCUUGUGGGCCAAUGGAUAAGGCGCCUGACUACGGAUCAGGAGAUUCCAGGUUUUAGUCCAGGCAGAGUCG